ncrna:unclassified sequences Streptococcus sRNA SpF59 (ldcC RNA)
UGACCACUUAUACAUUUGAUGUAUACAAUAUAUAUAUAUUACGUCUGGUAUAAGUUAAGCCUAACGGACAGGCGGGUCGGUUGCCGG